GGGGGGGGUGGGGGGGGGGGGGGGGUCCUUCAGUCAGGAGUGUGGGUAAUGCUGAGUGGCAGUCGCUAGCCCAGGCUAGGAUGGGGUCAGAGGUCAUGGGGGGGGUCCCUGGUCACAGUCUCUGUGACCCACAGGUUGAAGCCCUCAGGUCGCCACUAAAGGGUCAGAGAGCACAGUGGGGGCAGGAAGCAGGAAGAUGGAGCUGGAGGCGGGAAUCCCAGUUCUAAGGUGAUGGGGCAGGAACUGGGGACUAGAGGGGGUUGUGGGGUCAGGGGUCACUAGACAUCCAGGUAGAAUGCAGGAGGGUGUGAAUCCCAGGGAAGGACAAGCUGGAGAGCAGGGACCAAGAAGCCAGAGCCUCAGAAACAGACGGUGUGACAGGCACUCUCGCUGUGUGCAGGGGGGCUGCGCCUCCUCCAGGAGGGGUCCAAAUAGCGGGGGGGAGGGGCCUUCCAGAGGGUGCGGGGAAGCCUGAGAGCAAAGCAUCACGGAGCCAACUCCCAGGGGUGUGUUGGGGGCGGUUCUCAAGGUCCCUGCGGGCCCGCGGAGAGGAACACCCUCCCACCCUGCCUGGAAAGCAGAAGUGAGAGCACGGAGAGCUGGGCGGAGCGCGAAGCCCAGGUGGGCCUGACCUCGGACUUCAUGUAGGCGGCCACGCCCUUGGCAGCGCUGAUGAUCACGUAGGGGACGCGGUCGCCCAGGCUGGGCGCGCUCCCGGGGUCCCGCUUCCUCAUCCUGCGGGGAGACCAAGGCGGCGGGCCCGGGUGAGGGCAGGUGGCCCCGGCGGGGGCGGGCCGGCGGGCUAGGAAGUGGCGGGCCCAGCUGGCGGGUGAGGGGCUAUUUCUGGCCGCUCCCGCCCCCUCCCCGGCUGGGCGCACCUCUCGGCCAGCUCCACGUGGGCCUGCUUGCCCGCGUAGUCGGCGGCGGCGCGGGUCAGCUCCUUGGUAAUGACCAGCUGCGAGAUGUCAAUGCGAUUACACAGCAGGUCGGAGAUGACGUCCUGUGCAUGCGCCACGGCGCCCGCGGGGUCUCUGCCUGGGCCUGACACCUGUGUCCCCAGGGGAGGAGGGGCUCGGGGCCGGGUGGAGGUCCCCACGCACCGGUCGAUGAGCAGGCGGCGCAGCGAGGCGGUGACGAGGUUGGCCACCAGGGGGCAGUUGUCCCUGCGCACAGCCUCCAGGCCCUUGCAGUCCAUGCGGUCGUGGGCGUCGGGCCGGGAGGAGAAGAGCAGGCCCGCGUACCGCUUCUUGCUGAUGAGCAGCCGGAUGGGCGAGGGGAAGUGGCCGGACACCCAGUCUGCAGCCUCCCGUCCCAAAGCCAUCGCCUCAGCCACGGAGGAGACGCCGAAGCGGCACAUGACCGAGUCUGUGUCACCAUACACCACCUGGGGAGGGGCGCGUGUGACCCGGAGGGGCGGGGAGAUGCUGGGCGGCCCCCACACUUCCCACGCCAGCCCCAGGCCCGUCUCAGGCAGCAGCAGGCAGGCAGGAGGCCCCUGACCUUGGCGCUGGUGCUGUAGCCGUUCUCCACCGUGUACUUGGUCUCCACGAGCUGCUUUGUCUUCUCAAUCAUCUGGCGCCCAAACCCGGUGACGCUCUGUUGGGGAGAGAAUCACACAGAGUGAGGGCCGUUUGCAGGGGCCAGGUAUGAGCAUGGGUAAGCCACUGUCUCUCUGGGUCUCAGCUUCCAAAUAUGUAAAAUGGGCUACUGAGCUGUUCCUGCAUGGAGGUCCGUAGAUGAGGGCCUGACAGCAGCAAACAGUGGCGGAAAGGCCAGUGCCAGAAGAGGCCAUCAGCUCAGUGUGUCUCUCCACAGAGGUGCUGAGACAUCUGGUGAUAUUCCUGGUCCCAUUCCCCCAUCCUUGGGCAAUCAGAAAUGUCCACCCCUCAAAGACAGGGGGCUGUACCAGGGCCAGGGGGAGACCACUCCUUUCCAAAUAAGGAAACUGAAUUUGGGGGAGGAGGAGGGACACACUAAGGAGAAACACACGUGACUUCUGUUUUUGCCUGGACCCAGCCAGAAAACCUUUGUGUUUAACUGGAGCAUUUAGGCCAUUUAUGUUUAGUGUAAUUACUGAUUAUAUCUGCGCUUAAAUCUACCAUCCAGCUGUCUUCUAUUUGUUUCACCAUUCGAUGUUCCUUUUUCUACCUGUUUUCUGAAAUGACUCGGUACUCUUUUUUCUUCCACCCUCUGGCCUUCAUAAGCUUAAGAGACAGACUAGGAAAAGAUGCUAAAAAACAGUCAUAACUGAGACAGAGAGAAGGGGCUGAGAGGAAAGUGACGAGAGGCAGGGCCAGGAAGCGGCAGCAGCGAUGAGGAAGUGCCAGGGGAAAGGCCCAGCCACACCCUCCUGCCUGGCCUCCCCUUGGGAGCUGCAACCCGAUGCCCAAGCAUCCACUGCUUUCCACCGAGGAGGUUGGGAGAGGCCCCGGGGACUAGCAAGGGCCAGAAAGAGCGGUAAGAGUGAUCCACCACAGAGAUUAGCCUCGCCCAAAUGGCUGGCUCUUGGGAGGGAACCUCGAAGCCCUUGGCAUGUCCUGCCUGACAAAUGUCUUUGUUCAUCUGGGACGUUGGGUCACACCAAGUGAUCUAAUGUGAUUUAUGGUGGGGGCCUUAGGCCACACCGUAUCACCUUGACCUCUGGAGGGACUGGAGACUGAGUAACUGAGGUCAGUCACAUGGUGUACUCUGUGCACCUGACCCUCAAUAAAAACCCAGGCCACCAAGGCUCGGGUGAACUUCCUUGAUGGGCAGUACCACAUGUACGUCAAUGCGGGGAGGAAGGAGAGCUGUCUGCAGGACUCCCCUGGGAAAGGCAAGUGGAAGCUUCCACCUGGUCUCCCCUGGACUCUGCCCCAUGUGCCUUUCCCUUGGCUGCUUUUAACCCCUAUCCUUUCACUGUAAUAAAUCAUAACCAUGAGUAUAACAGCUUUUCUGAGUUCUGAAUCCUUCUAGUGCAUCACUGGAUCUGAGGGUGGGCUUGGGGGCCCCUGAACUACACCUGAUCCCAGCUCGGCAGAACCUCAGAGAGUCAGGCCCGCUGUGGUCUUGCCACGGGUCUGUUUUUCUCUCUGAGCAGUAAACAGCCCCACAGGAUGCUGCUGUGGGCACAUCUGCCCACGUUUCCUCUCAGAGCAGAGCAGUGUCCGUGCCAGCGGAGUGUCCUCACCGGGGUCCUCACUCAGGCCCAGGACGGGGGACCUGCACCUGUCCAGACGGUGACUGAGGACGUAAAGUCAAAUGCCCGCACCUGACCGCGCUGCUGGGUGACCCCCAGCCUCGGUGGUCUGGGUUUUUAUUGGAGUCAGGUGCCUGGCGCACCAUGUGACUGACCUUAGUUACUCAGCCUCCAGUCCCUCCAGAGGGCAAGGGGAUACAGUGUGGCUCAAGGCCCCUGACAGAGACACGGCCCUGUUCUCCCAUCAGGAGGGGAAAGGGAAGGUGCUCUCUACCCUGCCACCCCGAUGGAGACCAGCGCAGGAGGUGGCAACUGCCAGGAACACGAGGCUGCCAAGUGACUGAGGGACAGGUGGAAAGAGCAAGCUAGACUGGGCCCCUCCCUCCAUUCCUCGGCCUCUGCCGGCCCUGCCCUGCCCCACCCCGCUCCUCCCUCCCCAACUGCCCUCCUGUACACAUUUACUCCUGUCGCCAUCGGUGUCCCCGCAAGGCUGGACACUAGGACAGGCGCUCUCACCUGGUGUCACCGGCUGGACCCACGAAGCGCAGGGCCCAGCCCACAGUGAACGGUCAGCAAGUGUUCUGCUGAACCAAUCACGUGGGCAUCCACUCUCCAAAAGGCCGGUGGGUUGGGGCUAUCCCGGCCCUGACCUCCACCACACUGAGCCCUGAUUCUCCCCAAGAGGGGGUGUCUGCCCUCCACCUGCCGCUGUGCACUCACCUGUGAGAUUUCCAGGCACGGCAGCCUACCCACCUGGGCGCCAGUGAAGCCGUACACAGAGUUAGCACUCACUUUCAGCGCCAGCUGGCGCCCGUCCAACACUUGUCGCCGUAGGGGGUCUGUCUCCUUGGCCAGCUCGGCCUUGGCCCUGGGAAAAGAAAGGAGAACGUGGGGACCAAAGGCCACUUGAGGGGCAUCCCAGGCCUCAGGGGGAGAUGAGAGGGCUGGGUCAGGGUGCCCUUCUGAAAAGGGGUGCCACCUGCAGUCGUGCAGGCCGCACACUGUAUGGGGUUGCCUGGCAGAGGGGCUGGCGGAAGCUGCCCGCAGUGGGUGACUGGUUCCAGCUGAGGCGCAGCUGCAGCGACAUGCACUGCUGAGGGACAGGGACUCCAGGCCACUUCAACAAGCUCAGAGCAGGGUGGGCGGGGAGAGCUCAAGGGCCCACCUCUUCCGGGCGCUGAGCAGGUUUUCUAGGAUCUGGGGGAGCAGCCCCUUCCGCACCGAUGUCUUCACAAACUCGUCCCCCGUGGGUGUCUUGAUGAACUGAUCCUCGGUCAGGCUGGAUGAGAGAUGGUGAGGGUGACGCCUGGCCAUCCCCCACCAUGGCUCCUCCUCUUCAUCCCUCAGGACGCCCCUACCUCUUGCCAGUCCCCUCCCCUCCCCGCUAGCUCUGGGUCUCUGGCCCCUCUGGCCGGUCCCGGGGCAGUCUCAGGGUACACGUGGUGAGUGAGGCGCUGUACCCUAGUUUCCCCCUCGGUGGGGAGUGCGGUGGCCUGACCGCCCCAGGCUCUGCCUGCUGACCUGUCGCAGCAGCUGGGACACGACCUUGACCUGCUGGCCGCGGCUGAGCAGGUAGCCGAGGGGCACGCCGGUGACACGCGCCAUCUCCAUGGCGUUCACCAGCACCAUGAGCCGCUCCAGCAGCCGCAGGGGCAGGAAGGCGUCCUUGAGGCAGUACACGGCCAGGCGGCGGCGCGUCUGGUCGUUUCCGUUCUGGGGACAGGGACAGGGGUCAGGGGGGCGACAGGGUGGAAGGGAGCAGGGUGCGGUCUGAGAGACUAGUGUGGACUAGGAAGCGCAGGGCAGUGGAACAGAGGUCACCAUGCCAGAGGUCACAGGAAUGGCUAAGGAUACAGUUCCCAUCUGCGGCGGGAGGUCAGAGGUCAAGGGCAAGAGGUGAAGGGAAAGGUCAGGAGAACAGGCACAGGAUGUCCAAGAGCGGGAAGGUAAGCGGGAGUUGAGGGGCGGAGUCUGAGGGGGCGGGAGGCGGGGUCUGAGGGGACGGGAGGCGGAGUCUGAGGGCUCAGGAGGCGCGGUCUGAGGGGACAGGAGGCGGGGCCUGAGGGCUUGGGAGGCGGGGCCUGAGGGCUUGGGAGGCAGGGUCUGAGGGGACGGGAGG
rnacentral:lncRNA from 1 species